rnacentral:rRNA from 1 species
UGGGGAAUCUUGCACAAUGGAGGAAACUCUGAUGCAGCGACGCCGCGUGAGCGAAGAAGCCUUUCGGGGUGUAAAGCUCUUACGCCAGGGACGAUAAUGACGGUACCUGGAGAAGCAGCUGCGGCUAACUACGUGCCAGCAGCCGCGGUAAUAUGUAGGCAGCAAGCGUUGUUCGGAAUUACUGGGCGUAAAGGGUGCGUAGGCGGUUGCCUAAGUUUGGUGUGAAAUCUCCCGGCUUAACUGGGAGGGUGCGCUGAAGACUGGGCGACUUGAGUAUGGGAGAGGAAAGCGGAAUUCCUGGUGUAGCGGUGAAAUGCGUAGAGAUCAGGAGGAACACCUGCGGUGUAGACGGCUUUCUGGACCAAGACUGACGCUGAGGCACGAAAGCGUGGGUAGCAAACAGGAUU